GACGAACGCUGGCGGCGUGCCUAAUACAUGCAAGUAGAACGCUGAAGAGAGGAGCUUGCUCUUCUUGAAUGAGUUGCGAACGGGUGAGUAACGCGUAGGUAACCUGCCUGGUAGCGGGGGAUAACUAUUGGAAACGAUAGCUAAUACCGCAUAAAAUGGAUUAUCGCAUGAUAAUCCAUUGAAAGGUGCAAAUGCAUCACUACCAGAUGGACCUGCGUUGUAUUAGCUAGUUGGUGGGGUAACGGCUCACCAAGGCGACGAUACAUAGCCGACCUGAGAGGGUGAUCGGCCACACUGGGACUGAGACACGGCCCAGACUCCUACGGGAGGCAGCAGUAGGGAAUCUUCGGCAAUGGACGGAAGUCUGACCGAGCAACGCCGCGGGAGUGAAGAAGGUUUUCGGAUCGUAAAGCUCUGUUGUAAGAGAAGAACGAGUGUGAGAGUGGAAAGUUCACACUGUGACGGUAUCUUACCAGAAAGGGACGGCUAACUACGUG
rnacentral:rRNA from 1 species